UACUGGUCGCAAGGAAUAAUGGAACAAGACCUCGGUCCCGCGCAUCUCCGCCCUUCGCGGGCGCGCGAAAUCGCCCUCCGGGGCGUUUCCGUGCGCGGGCCGCCGGGCCGCGGGCGCCAGUCGCCCGCGCGUCCCGCCGGGCCGGUUUUCGGGACCGGAGGUAAUGAUCAACAGAGACGGGCGGGGGCAUUCGUACCGAGACGUUAGAGGUGAAAUUCUUGGAUCGUCUCGAGACGAACUGACGCGAAAGCAUUUGCCAAGUACGUUCUCGUAUGAUCAAGAACGAAAGUUAGAGGUUCGAAGGCGAUCAGAUACCGCCCUAGUUCUAACUGUAAACGAUGCCAGCUAGCGAUCCGCCGGCGUUUCAUUAACGACCCGGCGGGCAGCUUCCGGGAAACCGAAGCUUUUCGGUUCCGGGGGAAGUAUGAUUGCAAAGUUGAAACUUAAAGGAAUUGACGGAAGGGCACCACCAGGAGUGGAGCCUGCGGCUUAAUUUGACUCAACACCACGAGGCUGCGUUGAAUAAUUUUGCACUUGGAACGCAGUUUAUAAAUUGUUGGAUUGAGCUCCUCUACUUAAUAAUUCCUAAUUCGAGCACUGCUUGAAACAUACGUAUUUCAACAAGUUAAGAAUGAAGGUGAAAAAAAUAAUUGGCGGGAAUCAUUAUUUUGGAAGUAUUAUAUCCUUGAAUCCUUCCACAGUUUGCGAUUUUCCGUUUAUAUGCAUGUGCACAACACUGUAC
rnacentral:ncRNA from 1 species